CAGGCCUAACACAUGCAAGUCGAACGCUAUCGCAAGAUAGAGUGGCGCACGGGUGAGUAACGCGUGGGAAUCUGCCCUUUUGUCUGGGACAACAGCUGGAAACGGCUGCUAAUACCGGAUACGCCCUUCGGGGGAAAGGUCCGCCGCAGAAGGAGGAGCCCGCGUCUGAUUAGCUUGUUGGUAGGGUAAUGGCCUACCAAGGCAACGAUCAGUAGCUGGUCUGAGAGGAUGAUCAGCCACACUGGGACUGAGACACGGCCCAGACUCCUACGGGAGGCAGCAGUGGGGAAUAUUGGACAAUGGGGGCAACCCUGAUCCAGCAAUGCCGCGUGUGUGAUGAAGGCCUUAGGGUUGUAAAGCACUUUCACUGGUGAAGAUGAUGACGGUAACCAGAGAAGAAGCCCCGGCUAACUUCGUGCCAGCAGCCGCGGUAAUACGAAGGGGGCGAGCGUUGUUCGGAAUUACUGGGCGUAAAGGGAGCGCAGGCGGUUCACUCAGUUAGGCGUGAAAGCCCCGGGCUCAACCUGGGAACUGCGCUUAAUACUGAUGAGCUAGAAAACAGGAGAGGGUAGUGGAAUUUCCAGUGUAGAGGUGAAAUUCGUAGAUAUUGGAAAGAACACCGGUGGCGAAAGCGGCUACCUGGCCUGAU
rnacentral:rRNA from 1 species